CAAUAGCGUAUAUUAAAGUUGUUGCGGUUAAAAAGCUCGUAGUUGGAUUCCUGCUGGGGGGCGACCGGUCCACCCUCCGGGUGAGCAUCUGGUUCGGCCUUGGCAUCUUCUUGGUGAACGUAUCUGCACUUGAUUGUGUGGUGCGGUACCCAAGACCUUUUACUCUGAGGAAACUAGAAUGUGUCAAGCAGGCAUGCGCCUUGAAUACAUUAGCAUGGAAUAAUAAAAUAGGACCUCGGUUCUAUUUUGCUGGUUUCUAAAGUUGAGGUAAUGAUUAAUAGGGAUAGUUAUAGGCAUUCGUGUUUAAAUGUGGGAGGUGGAAUUCUUCGAUUUGUUAAAGACGGACUGCUGCGACAGCAUUUGCCAAGGAUGUUUUCAUUGAUCAAGAACGGAAGUUAGGGGACCGAAGACGAUUAGAUACC
rnacentral:rRNA from 1 species